UAAGAACUGUAUUUUCCCCCAAGCAUUUGGCGAUCUAAAACUCCCUAGCUUACGAGACACAGUUAUAUUGAGCAUAUGGCUGACUCCGAUCACAAGGACGCGAUGGACAAAGCGACCCAUGCCAAGUCCGUCCCUCAACAACAGUUUUAUAGGACUUCCCCGAACAACUCAGCGGGAACUUAUCCUCCACCAAAUGCCCCGAAUAAAGAACCGGUUGCCGGUGCGAUGAGUACUGGAUCACAGCCUUCACUAAAGAACGAUGAGAACCCUGCACCUUCUGGCACGGAGUAAGUGUAACAAUUCUAUAAGACGAAGGAUCCACAUACACAAGUAUGUCAUGACAUGGACAUGAGAACAAGCAUCCGAGCUUCAACUGGCAUACUAUAUAUCUAAAAUAAUAUGUAUUAUGUAGCAAUUUGUUUUGAUUUGUGUAGCUAUGAGGUGCAAUUAGAAAAAUGGAUAACAAUUUGAUACAUCUAGUGGUUUGUAGUUGCAUAUUGGUGUUGUGUUGAAUAUGUGAGUUCAUGUGUAAGUUUUGAUAUAUCAAGUUCACAUAUAUGUAUAUUAAGAUUUUGAGAUUCUAUUAAGUAUUUGAUUUUGUGUGUA